AUGAAAGAAGUGGUAAGAACGAAAAUAUUAAAACUUCUAGAAGUAGGUAUAAUCUAUCCUAUAGCUGAUAGUAGAUGGGUAAGUCAUGUUCAUUGUGUCCCUAAAAAGGGAGGUAUUAUUGUUGUUCCUAAUGAUAAGAAUGAACUUAUUCCACAAAGAAUUGUUACAGGUUAUAGAAUGGUAAUUGAUUUUAGAAAAUUAAACAAAGCAACUAGAAGAGAUCAUUACCCUCUGCCUUUUAUUGAACAAAUGCUAGAAAGAUUAUCUAAGCACAAACAUUUUUGCUUCCUUGAUGGAUAUUCUGGUUUUUCACAAAUACCUAUUUCUCAACCUAAUCAAGAAAAUACCACUUUUACCUGGCCCUUUUGA
rnacentral:rRNA from 1 species